rnacentral:rRNA from 1 species
GACGAACGCUGGCGGCGUGCCUAAUACAUGCAAGUAGAACGCACAGUUUAUACCGUAGCUUGCUACACCAUAAACUGUGAGUUGCGAACGGGUGAGUAACGCGUAGGUAACCUGCCUGGUAGCGGGGGAUAACUAUUGGAAACGAUAGCUAAUACCGCAUAAUAUUGAUUAUUGCAUGAUAAUUGAUUGAAAGAUGCUAUUGCAUCACUACCAGAUGGACCUGCGUUGUAUUAGCUAGUAGGUGAGGUAACGGCUCACCUAGGCGACGAUACAUAGCCGACCUGGGAGGGUGAUCGGCCACACUGGGAAUGAGACACGGCCCAGACUCCUACGGGAGGCAGCAGUAGGGAAUCUUCGGAAAUGGACGAAAGUCUGACCGAGCAACGCCGCGUGAGUGAAGAAGGUUUUCGGAUCGUAAAGCUCUGUUGUAAGAGAAGAACGGGUGUGAGAGUGGAAAGUUCACACUGUGACGGUAUCUUACCAGAAAGGGACGGCUAACUACGUG